GCUGGGCGUGGUGGCGCAUGCCUGUAACCCCAGCUACUUGGGAGGCUGAGGCAGGAGAAUCACUUGAACCCGGGAGAUGGAGGUUUCAGUGAGCCCAGAUCUCUCCACUGCACUCCAGCCUGGGUGACAGAGUGAGACUCUGUCUCAA
rfam:Nomascus leucogenys chromosome 10, whole genome shotgun sequence.